rnacentral:rRNA from 1 species
UGCGCAGGCGGUUUCUUAAGUCAGAUGUGAAACGCCCGGGCUUAACCUGGGAACUGCGUUUGAAACUGGGAGACUUGAGUGUGGCAGAGGGGGUGGAAUUCCACGUGUAGCAGUGAAAUGCGUAGAUAUGUGGAGGAACACCGAUGGCGAAGGCAGCCCCCUGGGUUAACACUGACGCUCAUGCACGAAAGCGUGGGAGCAAACAG